rnacentral:rRNA from 1 species
GAUGAACGCUGGCGGCGCGCCUACCACAUGCAAGUCGAACGAUUAAAGCACCUUCGGGUGUGUAUAAAGUGGCGAACGGCUGAGUAACACGUGGGCAACCUGCCCCUUUCAUUGGGAUAGCCACGGGAAACCGUGGAUAAUACCGAAUACUUCGAGACUUCCGCAUGGAAGACUCGAGAAAGCUCCGGCGGAGAGGGAUGGGCCCGCGGCCUGUUAGCUUGUUGGUGGGGUAACGGCCUACCAAGGCAAUGAUGGGUAGCUGGGUUGAGAGACCGACCAGCCAGAUUGGGACUGAGACACGGCCCAGACUCCUACGGGAGGCAGCAGUGGGGAAUCUUGCACAAUGGGCGAAAGCCUGAUGCAGCGACGCCGCGUGCGGGAUGAAGGCCUUCGGGUUGUAAACCGCUUUCAGCAGGGACGAGGCGAAAGUGGCGGUACCUGCAGAAGAAGCCCCGGCUAACUACGUG